AUUUUUUUUUAUUAAUUUUUUUUUAUGAUAAUUUUUUCUUAAAAUUAAAUUUUUAAUUUUUAUUAUACUAUAGAAAAAAUUUUUUUAUUUAUAGUUUAUUUUUACUGUGAAGGUUUUAAUUGUAAUAGUUUAAAGGAUAAUUAAUUUUAGUACCUUGUGUAUCAGGGUUAAAUAAUUAUUCUUUUUAAAUAUGAAUUUCUCGAAUUCAGAAGAGUUACUUUAAAAUUUAUUUUAUUGUAAAAUAAAUAUUUGUUAUUUUAAGGUUGAAAUGAAACGUUAUUCGUUUCUGAAUAUAUCUAGUUUUCUAAGAAAAAAUUUAAUUUUGUUUUUUAAAAUAAAAUUUAUAAUUUUUUGUAAUUUUUAUUUAAAUAGCAUAUUUACUUAGGGAUUAGCUUGGGUAAGUAUUAUUAUAAUGGUAGUAGUUUAUUUAUUAAUUAGGAUUGACAGUUUCUAUAUUUAGAAUAAUAUUAUAUUUAAUUAAAUUUUUACUUUAAUUUUUAUCUAUUUAAUUUUUUUAUUGGAAUAUAAAAUUAAAUUUUAAUUUUUUUUUAAUUAUGUUUUAAUUAGUAUAUUAUUAUAUUUUAUAAAAGGUAAGAAAAAGGAAUUCGGCAAAUAAUUUUUCACCUGUUUAUUAAAAACAUGGCCUUUUGUUAAUAAUUUAAGGUCUAACCUGCCCUAUGAAAUUUUAAAUGGCCGCGGUAUUUUGACCGUGCAAAGGUAGCAUAAUAAUUAGUUUCUUAAUUAGAAGCUGGAAUGAAUGGUUGAAUGAAAAAAUUACUGUCUCUUUCUUAAUAUAUAAAAUUUUAUUUUUGAGUUAAAAAGCUUAAAUGUUAUUAAAAGACGAGAAGACCCUAUAGAGUUUUAUAUUUAAAUUUGUUUGUGGUUGUUAGAAUUUUAAAGAUUAAUUAAUUUAUUUAUUUGGUUGGGGCGAUUAAAAAAUUAAUAAAACUUUUUUUUUUUGUUACAUUGAUUUAUGAAUAGUUGAUCCAUUAUUAAUGAUUAAAAGAAAAAAUUACCUUAGGGAUAACAGCGUAAUUUUUCUGGAGAGUUCAUAUUGAAAGAAGAGUUUGCGACCUCGAUGUUGGAUUAAAAUAAAAUUCUGGUGCAGAGGCUAGAAGGUUAGGUCUGUUCGACCUUUAAAAUUUUACAUGAUCUGAGUUUAAACCGGCGUGAGCCAGGUUGGUUUCUAUCUUUAAUAAAAUUUAAUAUUUUAGUACGAAAGGACCAAAUAUUAAAUACUUUAUUUUUAUUUAGAAUAUUAAU
rnacentral:rRNA from 1 species